CAGCAGCCGCCGCGGUAAUACGAAGGGUGCAAGCGUUACUCGGAAUUACUGGGCGUAAAGCGUGCGUAGGUGGUUGUUUAAGUCUGUUGUGAAAGCCCUGGGCUCAACCUGGGAAUUGCAGUGGAUACUGGGCGACUAGAGUGUGGUAGAGGGUAGUGGAAUUCCCGGUGUAGCAGUGAAAUGCGUAGAGAUCGGGAGGAACAUCCAUGGCGAAGGCAGCUACCUGGACCAACACUGACACUGAGGCACGAAAGCGUGGGGAGCAAACAGGAUUAGAUACCCCCGUAGUCCCUGUCUCUUAUAC
rnacentral:rRNA from 1 species